GCUUCUGCUGUCCCGCUACUGGGCUCCUGGGCAGGAAGGACUAAACCCAGACUGGGACUCCUGGAGGUUUGCUGGCUGGGAGAAGGGUCUCACACUAUAUCCCAGGCUGACCUGGAACUCCUGGAAAUCCUCCUGUCUCAGCCUCUGAAGGUCUGGGAUUACAGGAAUGAGCAACCAAGGCUAGCGUCAACCACUUCUUCACAGCUGUUACUUACGUAUAAAGCUUGAGAGAUGAGGCCAGGAGUCAGCUCAGCUGUAAAGACAGCACCACAUGAGGAUGCGCCUUCUGCAUGUACUUCAGAAUCCCACACUAAUGUCUACACCAGACCCCCAUCCUGCAUCUAACCCAAAAUGCAUCCAGCCCCACCGCAGAGCUUGGCUUUCUGCCUCUCCUUUACGUUUGGGCAUGUCUGGCUUUCAGGAUUUUAAUCUUUCAGGAUUGUGAUUAUUUAUGACAUAGCCCCAUUUGGUAGCCCACACUGGCCUUGGAUUCCUGGUCCUGUCUCAGCUUGAGUGUUAGGAUUACAGGUACACUCCACCACGGCCAGGACUUGAAUCUUUAGGGACUUCAGCAUUUGGCAUUAAUGAAGUUGGGAUCCUGUCUCUUCAGAUCAGCACUUCUCGGAAAGCUUGAGGCCUUCCCCAACUGGCAAAAAUGAAGAAACAGAUGCAGCCGGUCCUCCUCAGCGUUGGAGACUUUUAUCUUUAACACCAUUUCGCACAAUGCCAAGCCACACAGACCCUUGCCAUAAUCCCACUUUAUGAAUCUUUAUCCUUGUCUUGGGAACACAGCCUCCCUCUCAGCCUCCCCCAAAGUCCCUCUCUGGAGCCAAGGUUUAGGUUGCUGUGGUUCUAGAUGUCUCUCCCAGGCUCAUCACUCUGAUGGAGCUCAGGACACUGAUUGAGUCUUAGAAAACAGAACUUCCCCUCUGCAGUCUGAAGGGGAAAGAACACCGUGACUGACGGCACUCAGAACUGGCCAAGCCCUGGUCACCAUUGGCGUGAGACUCACAGCACCAAGCUUCCCCUGUCUACACUGGAUAGAAAUGACUGUUCCAGGGCUGUCAGGAUGGCUCUGUGAGCAGAGGCUUGCUGCCAAGACGGCCUGAUGACUUGACUUUAAGCCCCAGGCGCCACAAGGUGGAAGAAGAAAACCGUCUCCACAAAGGUUUCCUCUGACCUCUACACAGGUGCUGUGGCAUGUGUGUACCCCUCCGAUCACCAUAAUAAUAAAUGUAAACUGCCA
rnacentral:lncRNA from 1 species